UAAAUCUUGUCUUGUCUUGUCUUAUGCAAUUUAUUGUUUUUCUCUCUUAAAUAUUCUUUUCUUUCUAUUAGCUUGAUACACUUCCCAACACUGACCUCUUUAAUCGACUUUGCGAAGGAAUUUCAAGCAGGUGUACAUGAACUAAGACCUGGGGGAAGAUAAGAUGUUGCACCACUGGUUAUAGAGAGAGAGAGAGAAAAAAAAGUAUGAUGUAAGCCAUUUAACCAAUUCCCUUCCUAAUUAAUAUUCAUUAUUAUUAAAAUAAUCAAUAUUUAUUUA